GAGGCGGGCUCGCCUCCCGCCCCGCACUCCUCACAUGCGCGCUCGCUCCCGACACACCCCCCGGGAACACUCCAACCUAUUUCCCAGCGCCCGCGCCAGCCCGAUUAAUUCCCGGCCGCUGUCAGAUUAGGAGCGUGCGGGGCUGGGAAUCGGGGAAAAGGGAUCAAUCCCGGCUGGAGAAGGCAGCGCAGCCGGGUGCGAGCGCAGGGAUGCGAGCUCGGCAGCGCCGGGCCCUCCUCGCAGCCUCUCCCGCAGCCAUCCAAGGGACAAAUCCAUCGGCUGACGUCACAGCGCCAGCAAUUAGCCCCGAAAGGAGGAUGCGGGAGAAAUCUCUCCCCGACCGCUUCCAGCAGCGCCCGGGAAUUAAUCUCGCAUGAAGGGAAGCCGGAGCGGGGAACAAAAGAGGCCGGGGAGGCGGCGGGGGGGCUGCGGGAGCCGAGGCCGGGCUGUGCCCCGCGAUCCCACCCCGGCACCAGCUCCCCCCGGGGGAUGUGCGUCCCUCACCCCCUUCCCGACCUCUUCCCAGAGCUGCCCCAGGGCCGGGGGGGCCCUGCCGGGGGCACAGUCCAAGUCAUGGGGGUACCGCCAGGUUUAUCCAAGAAAAUGCGGGAUUUUAAAUCGUUUCUGGUGAAACUGGCUUUCAGCAGCUCCGCAAGUCCGGGUGUAUUUUUUUUCCUGGCAGGAAAAGUGCUCCGAGCCCCCUCAGGCUUCUCCUGAAGUGGUUCCCACGAGCAUCCCCGGGAUCCUCAUCCCGCACAGCACCCGCCGGGACAGGGGGGACAGCCCGGGCUCCGUCCCCGGGGCCCCCGCCGCAUCCCAGCGCCCGGAAAAACCGGGAUUGGCACUAUCAGCACCCAGCUGCCGAUGGAGGAGCUGCCUCUGCCCCUCCUCUGCCCUCCGGGCACAACAGCGGCGUUUUGGGGACAACCCGCGCGUUCCGGCGCUCGCGAAUGUGGCUUUUCAACGUGACCGCGGAGCGGGGAGGGAAAACUUCCCUUCUGCCGCUCACCCCGCAUCAGCAUCUUUGGGGUCACCGCCGGCAGCCCCACGUGCCCGUCAGGAUUUGUCCCUGCUCGGCGGCAAUGCCCACAUCGUUUUCCCCAUUGGAAAAAAAAAAAAAGGAAAAAAAAAAAGCUGUUUUUCAUUAA